AGAGUUUGAUCCUGGCUCAGGACGAACGCUGGCGGCGUGCCUAAUACAUGCAAGUCGAGCGGAUCAAGUAUUUCCUUCGGGAAAUACGUUGGUUAGCGGCGGACGGGUGAGUAACACGUAGGUAACCUGCCCGACAGACCGGGAUAACAUUCGGAAACGAAUGCUAAUACCGGAUACGCGAUUUGGUCGCAUGGCCGAAUCGGGAAAGACGGAGCAAUCUGUCACUGUUGGAUGGACCUGCGGCGCAUUAGCUAGUUGGUGAGGUAACGGCUCACCAAGGCGACGAUGCGUAGCCGACCUGAGAGGGUGAUCGGCCACACUGGGACUGAGACACGGCCCAGACUCCUACGGGAGGCAGCAGUAGGGAAUCUUCCGCAAUGGGCGAAAGCCUGACGGAGCAACGCCGCGUGAGUGAUGAAGGUUUUCGGAUCGUAAAGCUCUGUUGCCAGGGAAGAACGCCUCGGAGAGUAACU
rnacentral:rRNA from 1 species